rnacentral:lncRNA from 1 species
GCUGGUUUGGCAAAGCAGUUUGAUGGCUGGAAAUUUUAUGACAAAUUAGGAGAAGAUCUGGCAUCUGGAUGUGCUGUCUGUAUGGAAUAUCUUUGUCUCCUGUUCUCCCACCCUGCAGAUGAGUAAUCUCCAGUGAUGUCAGUGGGCGUUAUCCCCAUGUCCGGAGGGUAAUAGAUUGGGCCCCUGUAAUGAAUUCAUUCAGAUGGGAAGAUUUCAGGUAACCCUCUUGACAGUCAUUUGGAAAAGGUAUUUCACCAAAAAGUGAAAAAGCCAUAUAAGAAUUCUCCUGGACAUCUCAAACAAGUUUCACUUUGUGAGGGGAGUCUGCAUGUGUAAAUAUCAUCCAGAGCUUUGAGGUGGAAAUGCCUGUACCUUCUCGUUAAGGUAAGCUCACCAAAGACAGUUAAAAAAAAAAAAAAAAAAAAAAAAAAGAGAGAAACCAGAUUUAAUUAGAAAAUGCUUUUUAGGAAGAACUUAAAACUUUUUAGGACAUAACUAAGAGUAAUUAAGUCAACAUCAAAAUGAGAAAGAAGAUUUCUAAAUAACCUUUUCCACCUGCCCACUGUGGUCUUGCAAUCAGGUCUUGGCUUCCAGAGUUGAUUUCAGUCAAUUCAGUGACU